rnacentral:rRNA from 1 species
UAUGUGAUCGUCUCUCGCAUAUCAAUAAGCGGAGGAAAAGAAACUAACAAGGAUUCCCCUAGUAACGGCGAGUGAAGCGGGAAGAGCUCAAAUUUGAAAUCUUAAAGGGUUUCCCUUUACGAAUUGUAGUUUAAAGAAGUGUUUUCUGUUGAGGUUUUGGUAAAAGUUCUUUGGAAUAGGACAUCAUAGAGGGUGAGAAUCCCGUAUUUGACCUUUACUUUCAACUUUGUGAUACACUUUCAAAGAGUCGGAUUGUUUGGGAAUGCAGUCCAAAAUGGGUGGUAAAUUUCAUCUAAAGCUAAAUAUUGGCGAGAGACCGAUAGCGAACAAGUACCGUGAGGGAAAGAUGAAAAGAACUUUGAAAAGAGAGUUAAACAGUACGUGAAAUUGUCAAAAGGGAAGCGUUUGACACCAGUGUUGUUUUUCUGAAAUCAAUUAAAGAACUGUUUAUGCUAAGUUGUUUAGACUUUAUCAGCUAACUGUUUAGUUUUGAGCUUUUCUUUAAUGCACUUUUCAGUUAACAAGUCAACAUCAAUUUCUUUUGCUGUAAAAAAGCUUGAGGAAGGUGGCUUGAGAUUCGUCUUAAGUGUUUAUAGCCUCUUGCCUAUGCAGUCGGAGAGAUUGAGGUCUGCAGCGUAGAUCCUUCGGGGCUAAAUGCAUUUGUGCUAAGUUAUAGCAUUUUAUAGACAACUUGUUGACUAUGAUUUGUCUUGUAGCUUACUCGCUUAUGUUAUUUUACCUACGCUUAGGAUGUUGACACACGCGCGUGCUCG